UACGUAGGGGGCAAGCGUUGUCCGGAUUUACUGGGCGUAAAGAGCGUGUAGGCGGCCAAGCAGGUCCGUUGUGAAAACUGGAGGCUUAACCUCCAGACGUCGACGGAAACCGCGUGGCUAGAGUCCGGAAGAGGAGAGUGGAAUUCCUGGUGUAGCGGUGGAAUGCGCAGAUAUCAGGAAGAACACCGACGGCGAAGGCAGCUCGCUGGGACGGUACUGACGCUGAGGCGCGAAAGCGUGGGGAGCGAACAGG
rnacentral:rRNA from 1 species